rnacentral:misc_RNA from 1 species
UCUCCGUAGGUGAACCUGCGGAGGGAUCAUUACAGAGUUCAUGCCCUCACGGGUAGAUCUCCCACCCCGUGUUAUUAUACUUUGUUGCUUUGGCAGGCCGCCCGCGUGGGCUACCGGCUCCAGCUGGUAAGUGCCUGCCAGAGGACCCCAAACUCUGAAUAUUUUAUUGUCUGAGUACUAUAUAAUAGUUUAAAACUUUCAACAACGGAUCUCUUGGUUCUG